rnacentral:rRNA from 1 species
ACGGGAGGCAGCAGUGGGGAAUAUUGGGCAAUGGGCGAAAGCCUGACCCAGCAACGCCGCGUGAAGGAAGAAGGUCUUCGGAUUGUAAACUUCUUUUAUGAGGGACGAAGGACGUGACGGUACCUCAUGAAUAAGCCACGGCUAACUACGUGCCAGCAGCCGCGGUAAUACGUAGGUGGCAAGCGUUAUCCGGAUUUACUGGGUGUAAAGGGCGCGUAGGCGGGGAUGCAAGUCAGAUGUGAAAUCCAUGGGCUUAACUCAUGAACUGCAUUUGAAACUGUAUCUCUUGUGUGCUGGAGAGGUAGAUGGAAUUCCUUGUGUAGCGGUGAAAUGCGUAGAUAUAAGGAAGAACACCAGUGGCGAAGGCGAUCUACUGGACAGUAACUGACGCUGAGGCGCGAAAGCGUGGGGAGCAAACAGGAUUAGAUACCCUGGUA